AUUACUGGGCGUAAGCGCACGCAGGCGGUUUGUUAAGUCAGAUGUGAAAUCCCCGGGCUCAACCUGGGAACUGCAUUUGAAACUGGCAAGCUAGAGUCUCGUAGAGGGGGGUAGAAUUCCAGGUGUAGCGGUGAAAUGCGUAGAGAUCUGGAGGAAUACCGGUGGCGAAGGCGGCCCCCUGGACGAAGACUGACGCUCAGGUGCGAAAGCGUGGGGAGCAAACAGGAUUAGAUACCCUGGUAGUCCACGCUGUAAACGAUGUCGAUUUGGAGGUUGUGCCCUUGAGGCGUGGCUUCCGGAGCUAACGCGUUAAAUCGACCGCCUGGGGAGUACGGCCGCAAGGUUAAAACUCAAAUGAAUUGACGGGGGCCCGCACAAGCGGUGGAGCAUGUGGUUUAAUUCGAUGCAACGCGAAGAACCUUACCUACUCUUGACAUCCAGAGAACUUUCCAGAGAUGGAUUGGUGCCUUCGGGAACUCUGAGACAGGUGCUGCAUGGCUGUCGUCAGCUCGUGUUGUGAAAUGUUGGGUUAAGUCCCGCAACGAGCGCAACCCUUAUCCUUUGUUGCCAGCGGUUCGGCCGGGAACUCAAAGGAGACUGCCAGUGAUAAACUGGAGGAAGGUGGGGAUGACGUCAAAGUCAUCAUGGCCCUUACGAGUAGGGCUACACACGUGCUACAAUGGGCGUAUACAAAGAGAAGCGACCUCGCGAGAGCAAGCGGACCUCAUAAAGUAUGGUCGUAGUCCCGGAUUGGAAGUCUGCAACUCGACUCCAUGAAGUCGG
rnacentral:rRNA from 1 species